rnacentral:lncRNA from 10 species
GCGCAGUGCUGCGGCGUGUGGGGAGUACGGGGAGGCUGGAGAGGAGCCGGCCCCGGGCAGUGUGAGGUGCGGAAGCGCGGUCCAGACACUUUGCUGACGGGAGGCCGGUCCGCCAGAUCCGGGAGGUGGGGCCUCGUUCUGGACUGCUAUAAGAAACAGAGGCAAAUGCAGGUUAAGGAACCUCACAGUAAGGGAUAAAACUCAUAUUUUAACCUGAUCUGCCUGAUUCUGGAGCCUGCACCAUCAUUCCAUUGUCGUGCUUGCCACAUGGUAAGGAUUUAACAGACAUUUAUUGAAUGAAUGAAUUUGGUAAACCUAACCAGGAUAGAAGAGGAGCACUCAGGAUUAUUGGAAACAAAGUAGGAAAGUUAGGCCCAGAUAUGGAGACUCUAGGACCCUGAGAAGUAGUUUAGACUGGAGGUGGCUGGGAAUAGGGAUUCAUCAUUGAUAACAUUUUUUAAAGAAGAUUAGAUUGGCAACAGUUCGUAUAACUUCUACACAGCUCUUUCUAUCUCAACCUUCAACUUGAAAAUAGAAUAUGUAGAAAAGGGCACAAUGAAACAUUUAUGAAAAAAUAUUAUUUUAAUGCAUAAACUUUAAAGGCUGAAAUUUUUUUUAACUGAAGAUCAUAUAUUCAUAAAUAACAAAAAGUGUAUAUUUUUUCAGAUAAUUUUAUGGCAUGACCAUUAAGAUUUUAUAUUUUAAAAACAAGAAUAGAUGUUUAAAAAAUGACUUACUUUCCACAGGAUAUUUAGGGGCAAAUCAUGUCUUAUUGAGAAUUUAAGUUACAGGUGCUUUAUCAAAACUCUUUUAAUUUUUUUUUGGCAGAUUUCUCUUUUAAAAAUCUUUUCUUCAAUCAGGGUUUUAGGGAUUGU